rnacentral:rRNA from 1 species
AAUGAAGUUCCUUCGGGAACGGAUUUAGCGGCGGACGGGUGAGUAACACGUGGGCAACCUGCCUUUAUCAGGGGGAUAACGCAUCGAAAGAUGUGCUAAUACCGCGUAAGACCACAGCCUCACAUGGGGCAGGGGUCAAAGGAGCAAUCCGGAUAAAGAUGGGCUCGCGUCCGAUUAGCUAGUUGGUGAGAUAACAGCCCACCAAGGCGACGAUCGGUAGCCGACCUGAGAGGGUGAUCGGCCACAUUGGAACUGAGAGACGGUCCAGACUCC